UAGGGAAUCUUCCACAAUGGACGCAAGUCUGAUGGAGCAACGCCGCGUGAGUGAAGAAGGUCUCGGAUCGUAAAGCUCUGUUGUUGGUGAAGAAGGAUAGAGGCAGUAACUGGUCUUUAUUUGACGGUAAUCAACCAGAAAGUCACGGCUAACUACGUGCCAGCAGCCGCGGUAAUGCGUAGGUGGCAAGCGUUGUCCGGAUUUAU
rnacentral:rRNA from 1 species